GAGAGAGAGCCGUUUCCCCUUCUCUCACCAACCCCUCUUCUCCCAUUUUGAUUUCCCAUACCUCCUCUCCCAACUUCUCUCGCAUCAUUUUUCACAUUUGUGAGUUGAGCUUCGGGUGCAUUGACAUUUCUUCCUCAGGUUCACAGAUGUAUGUAAGGCUCCAAUACACUUUCCAUGAUGUAAAACUAGAAGUAAUGUGAAGUCUUUUUUCCAAGAGAGUGUUGGUGUUAUUGGGUUAUUAAUGCAGGGGCAUUUUCACACCGAGCUCUAGUGGGUUGACCUGUGGGAUGCAGGGGCACACUCGGGGUGGGUGGCUUGUGUGAGGUGGUACCCAUGUGAUGUGGGGCCCACGAGGAGGGUUCAGCCGAGGUCCUAACCCAUGGGAUGUGGGGCAUGGGCUAUGAGAUAAAGGGAUUGAUUCGCCAUGCUCUAUCAGUUUGAGCUUUUAGAGCAAGUGGUUAGUUGUCCUGCAUCAGUUAUGUGGACGAAUGUCUUCAUAAUUGUAUUCACUCACUCUUCCCUUUCUUAGUUGUUUCUGUUUGAAGGCUUAGUCUAACAUUAGCUAAGCUGUUCUUAUUAUAGUGUGUUUUUUGUAACUCAUUAACAUUAGCAAAAUGAAUUAAUUCAAUUCUCAAACUUUUUCUUU